GAUGAACGCUGGCGGCGUGCUUAACACAUGCAAGUCGAACGGAAAGGCCGAAGCUUGCUUCGGUACUCGAGUGGCGAACGGGUGAGUAACACGUGGGUGAUCUGCCCUGCACUUUGGGAUAAGCCUGGGAAACUGGGUCUAAUACCAGAUAGGACCACGUCUUGGAUGGUGUGGUGGAAAGUUUUUUCGGUGUGGGAUGAGCUCGCGGCCUAUCAGCUUGUUGGUGGGGUAAUGGCCUACCAAGGCGUCGACGGGUAGCCGGCCUGAGAGGGUGUACGGCCACAUUGGGACUGAGAUACGGCCCAGACUCCUACGGGAGGCAGCAGUGGGGAAUAUUGCACAAUGGGCGCAAGCCUGAUGCAGCGACGCCGCGUGGGGGAUGACGGCCUUCGGGUUGUAAACUCCUUUCGCCAGGGACGAAGCGUAAGUGACGGUACCUGGAUAAGAAGCACCGGCUAACUACGUGCCAGCAGCCGCGGUAAUACGUAGGGUGCGAGCGUUGUCCGGAAUUACUGGGCGUAAAGAGCUCGUAGGUGGUUUGUCGCGUCGUUUGUGUAAUACCGCAGCUUAACUGCGGGGUUGCAGGCGAUACGGGCAUAACUUGGGUGCUGUAGGGGAGACUGGAAUUCCUGGUGUAGCGGUGGAAUGCGCAGAUAUCAGGAGGAACGCCGAUGGCGAAGGCAGGUCUCUGGGCAGUAACUGACGCUGAGGAGCGAAAGCAUGGGUAGCGAACAGGAUUAGAUACCCUGGUAGUCCAUGCCGUAAACGGUGGGCGCUAGGUGUGAGUCCCUUCCACGGGGUUCGUGCCGUAGCUAACGCAUUAAGCGCCCCGCCUGGGGAGUACGGCCGCAAGGCUAAAACUCAAAGGAAUUGACGGGGGCCCGCACAAGCGGCGGAGCAUGUGGAUUAAUUCGAUGCAACGCGAAGAACCUUACCUGGGCUUGACAUGCACCGGAUCGCUGCAGAGAUGUAGUUUCCCUUGUGGCUGGUGUACAGGUGGUGCAUGGUUGUCGUCAGCUCGUGUCGUGAGAUGUUGGGUUAAGUCCCGCAACGAGCGCAACCCUUGUCUUAUGUUGCCAGCAUUUGGUUGGGGACUCAUGAGAGACUGCCGGGGUUAACUCGGAGGAAGGUGGGGAUGACGUCAAAUCAUCAUGCCCCUUAUGUCCAGGGCUUCACACAUGCUACAAUGGUCGGUACAACGCGCAGCUACUUCGUGAGGAGGCGCUAAUCGCUGAAAGCCGGUCUUAGUUCGGAUUGGGGUCUGCAACUCGACCCCAUGAAGUCGGAGUCGCUAGUAAUCGUAGAUCAGCAACGCUGCGGUGAAUACGUUCCCGGGCCU
rnacentral:rRNA from 1 species